GCAGCCUCCUGGCAUCAUACUGACACUGAGGCUCGAAAGCGUGGGUAGCAAACAGGAUUAGAUACCCUGGUAGUCCACGCCGUAAACGAUGUCUACUAGUCGUUGGGUCCCUUGAGGACUUAGUGACGCAGCUAACGCAAUAAGUAGACCGCCUGGGGAGUACGGCCGCAAGGUUAAAACUCAAAUGAAUUGACGGGGGCCCGCACAAGCGGUGGAGCAUGUGGUUUAAUUCGAUGCAACGCGAAGAACCUUACCUGGUCUUGACAUAUCUAGAAUCCUGCAGAGAUGCGGGAGUGCCUUCGGGAAUUAGAAUACAGGUGCUGCAUGGCUGUCGUCAGCUCGUGUCGUGAGAUGUUGGGUUAAGUCCCGCAACGAGCGCAACCCUUGUCCUUAGUUACCAGCGGGUUAAGCCGGGAACUCUAAGGAUACUGCCAGUGACAAACUGGAGGAAGGCGGGGACGACGUCAAGUCAUCAUGGCCCUUACGACCAGGGCUACACACGUGCUACAAUGGUCGGUACAAAGGGUUGCUACCUAGCGAUAGGAUGCUAAUCUCAAAAAGCCGAUCGUAGUCCGGAUUGGAGUCUGCAACUCGACUCCAUGAAGUCGGAAUCGCUAGUAAUCGUGAAUCAGAAUGUCACGGUGAAUACGUUCCCGGGCCUUGUACACACCGCCCGUCACACCACGAGAGUUUGUAACACCCGAAGUCGGUGAGGUAACCUUUUAGGAGCCAGCCGCCUAAGGUGGGAUAGAUGAUUGGGGUGAAGUCGUAACAAGGUA
rnacentral:rRNA from 1 species